CGGAGAAGCGCUUCAGGCGUGAGCAUCCCCCGCAGGGCUCGUUCAACCCGCGCCCGCGCUGUCUGGAGACCUGACCUGUAGCCCCCAGCGGCCCUGUCUCUCUCCCUAGCAUCGGCGUUGCCUGUUGCUCCUCGCCCUCGUUGUUCCCCACGAGGCAGGACGCGGGUCGGAUCCGGGAGGUGGGCUCAGGCCCUGCCUCACAUCCCUCCUGCAGGUGCGCUCCUGAACUUUGGUUUUCCUGACCUCGCUCUGGACUCUGUCCUGGGCCAGUACCCACGGCGACCUGACUUCACGCAGCGCGCAGGUCAAAUCCACCGAGGCCUGUUCACUUUGCCUGCAAGCCCACCAGGCCCUGUCCUCUCACCUGCGUCUCUUCUCCAUGUUUAAAGCUUUUAAAAGAAAUGAAACCAUGAUCACCUACCUCUGGUCUACAGUUCUCCCGCCCUGAGUGGCACACAGCAGGUUCUGAUGGGCCUGGCCCCUUCCUGUCUCCUGGCUUCUUCACUCUCCGUCCUCUGGUCAGCAGGCUUCUGUCUGGAAUCAUUCACCCUCUUCAUCUUCCUGAGUGCUGUGAAAACUGAGGACAUCUGCGGUCAUGGGGAGGCAUGCCUGACACGUGUUGCCCCAGGUGCUGCAUUUCAGAGAGGAGCGGCCCAGCAGAGCUUUCCAGAGAAAGACCCAGCAAACUUCCCUGAUCUGCCUCUGGAGCACUUAGCACAGCUGCAUCAGACCAAGUCCCCACUCCAGUACAGGCACAGAAAUGCCAAGAGCCAAGGACAGUAGAGUGUGCUAAGGGCUCCUUGGAGCACUAAGAAGGGAUUCUUGACCUCCACCAGAACUGUUGGUGUCUGUGGAAACAGAAGUGACAGCAUUUAUGAGGAUAUGCCAGCUCCAAACAAGGUGAACUACUGUUUUCAUAAGGGUAUUCCAAGGUGCUUUCUGUUUUUUUUGCAACUAAAAUAUUAAUGUUUUUAGAGAUGCAUGAUUCAAAU